UUCCCCGACUUCUCGUGAAACUGGAGUACUCGGUGUAUUUCGAUAGAAAUUUUUGAACGUUUUCGAGGUUAGAGAAAAGAGAGUGUUAUUUCGUGAUCUUUAUGAGUGAUAACGAAGUCAAAAUGAAGAGUGAGAUCGACGUGCGAAUGUACGUGAAUACGAAGAACGUAUCGUCAAGGCGCGAAGUCAGAACUAAGUGUAAGAACAGUGACGAUGAAUCGUGAUCUUAGUGGUUGGCCUUGUCCACUCCAACAGUCGUCGUCGUCGUCAUCGUUGUCAGCCUUUCGUCGCUGCCGCUGCCGCUGCCGCUGCCGUUGUCGUUUUAACAGCGGUGCAACGGUCGACGAAGAAGAGUUGGCAGAAGAAGAGAAGGAGAGAGGGAGGAAGAGGAGCGACAGCAACAACAUUAGUAGUAGUAGUAGUAGUAGUAGUAGUAGUAGUAGUAGUAGUAGUAGUAGUAGAGUAGUAGUAGUAGUAGUAGUAGUAGCAAUAGCAGUAGUAGCAACAGCAGCGACAACAACAAUAACAACAACAACAGCAGCAGCAGCAGCAGCAGCAGCAGCAGCAGCAGCAGCAGCAGCUGCAGUAGGAGACAAGAAAAGUACGAUAGUGGUAGAAGCAAAAAAAGGAAACGAAGGACGGUGACGCGGGGUGUCGACGAUCGCGUGGAAUGGCAGCAGCCCUGAAAAAAAACCAUUCGCGGAGAAGAUUGGCCGCUUUGACAUUCCUCUCGAACAUAUCUCUCGAUGGAAGUCAUCGUGAUACAAAACUGGCUCUACUCUCGCGCAAGCCCACCUUCGGUGGGGCUGCUGGAAUCGCGGGAGAAAGAAGGGUUGGUGGGGAACACGCGCGAACUUUGAGCGACGGCGGCGAGGUUCGCCGACGAAGCUCGACACCAAGAUUCGAAUUCGAUGAUUCGUUCGAGGAAACGAACUCGCCUUUGUUAUUGUCAUCAAGACGGCGUAUCGCUCUUGACAGCUCGACGACUAUCGAUCAAGAUGAGAAACAAAGUCAACGACGAGAAUGUCCUUCUGGUGCUGAUUCCUCAUCCUCGCCUCGCGACUCGCAUAAACAAAUUCAUCGUGCGAACAGUGCUAGACGCAGGGAUUCGAUUGAUUCCGACGAAUCUCUCAUUCCCGCUAAGGCGGCUGUAGCUGCGUUCCUCGAACAAGAGAGAAACUAUCCGCAUUUACCCUCUUCCGGAUUGCACACCGGUUCCUUUAGAGAACGCACUGGAACAACCGGCAGCGACUAUUCUAUGCUCGAAAGACGCGUUGGCUCGUUGCAAUACAAGAAACGGAUAAGUCAUCAGACAUCGACGUUAUCCGAAGAUAUAAAGCAUCGAUACAAUAGCAGCAACGAAAGCAUCGGUUCGCUUCGUUCCAAGUCCCAAUCAUCGUCGUCUAAGGCAAAGGGAAAACCAUCGUGCAACAAUAACGUGCAACAAAACAUUAAUACCAAUAACAUACCAGAGAUCACAAAAGCAAUACGAUUGGUACAACGACCGACUAACAGACAAAAAUUUGGAGACGACAGGCUCGUCUUGGUUUCCGAUAAAUACGUUCCGUUUUUAAUAUUCUCGACUCUUCCCUACAACAAGGGUCGUUCGAGCUGGUCCGAAUUGAGGAGAGAUACAGGAAGAAGGAAAAACGUAUCGUCGCAAAGACCCCUGUCCGCUAUCAAUGACACUAUCGAUCCUUUCGGUCUUCUCGGUAUAGAAAGAGCUAAAGACGGACAGGAAAUUUCCUACGAACGAUUGUUGGUACCUUCGAGACAAUUUCAAAAAGAGAGAAAAUUAUGCUCGACCGAGAGUGAAACGAUAGAAUUAUCUCACGUUAUAGCAAACAAGCAUCACCCGGUACAAAGGACAAAAACUAUUACAUGGAACUUGGAUCACACGAAAUGGUGUCUUUCAUACGACACGGCAACACAUCGUUUACAACACAAUGCUCCAGAAUCUCCACCGUUAUCUUUUGGUGCCGACCCUAUUAGUAAAUUUUAUGAUUGGGACGAACAAUCCGUGCAAUAUAAUCCAAAUUUGUUAGACGAUCCAGAACUUAUCGCAGGGAAACAUAGAACUCUCCUCACUUUUACAUCAUAUAUGGCAUCGGUAAUUGAUUAUGUCAAACCUUCCGAUUUGAAAAAAGAAUUGAAUGACAAGUUUAAGGAAAAGUUUCCGCAUAUAGAACUAACGCUCAGUAAAUUACGUAGUUUAAAGCGAGAGAUGCGAAAGAUAGCAAAGACGGAAUAUGGGAUAGAUAUGUUGACCGUAGCGAUGGCUUACGUAUACUUCGAAAAAUUAAUUCUUCGUAAUAUUGUGACCAAACAAACGCGAAAAUUGUGCGCAGGUGCUUGUUUGCUUCUUGCGGCAAAAUUAAAUGACGUUAAGGGUGACGUGUUGAAAUCAUUGAUCGAGAGGAUAGAAAGUGUAUUUCGCUUAAAUCGUAAGGAUCUGAUUACAUCUGAAUUUGCUGUACUCGUCGCAUUAGAAUUUGGCUUGCACCUUCCAAAUUGGGAAAUAUUUCCUCAUUAUCAACGUUUGAUAUACGAAUCUUGACCUUCCUUUUCGUCCUUCUUCAUGCACAGACGUCAAACAUUAUCUUCUUAAUAGUGCAAGAAGUUGAACAGAGAUAUGUACAUUAUAAAAGUUUAACUGUUGUCGCUAACACUGGAUACGAAGAAAGAAGAAAGAGAUGUAAGUUAAAUCUUUAAAAAAGAACAUUAGUAUGCGUAUACAGCGAUAACACACUAUUUAUAACAAUUACGUAUCAAUGUGAUACUGGAAUCGUAACAGAUAAAAGUAGGAAUAAGUUACAGAAUCUUCUUUCUUACCUGAAUCUGAAGAAAAGCUCCCGAAUUUCAAAUAAUGUAAUGGAAAAAAGGCAUUCUUACAGGAAACAAAUAUAAAAAUAUAAGUUCGACUCAAUAUUUCAUUUUUUAUUUUAUAGUCAUAUCAUUGCAAUGAAUUUAUUUUGUCCCGCGAAUUAUAAAUAUUCACGAAAAAAUAAUGAAAGAGAGACAAAUGAAACUUUUUGGGUUGUGGUCUGAUGAAGGUCAACAAAUGCCAGAAAUUCGAUGUUAUUAUACAAUGAAACGAUGUUAGAAUAUCACUCCUUCUUGAAAUUCAAGUUAAUAAAUAUACAGUGAUCUUGAGAUAAUACAGAAACUAACAUAACGUAGGUCUCAUAGUUGAUAUAGUCGUAAUCAAGUUUUAUUAUUUACAUUCAGUUAAUUUGAACUUAAAAUUUGAUUAUUAUAUAAUUAUUACUCACUGUAAUUUUGUUUUUAAUUGCUGUAGCAACAGAGUUAUAUAGAUGGAAUUGUCGUGAAUAUUUUACAAUUAUCGACGUAAUUUUUUAAAUGAAAUAUUAAUUUCUUAUUUUGAGGAUGAUAAUCAAUAAAUUAUAAUAACAAUACAUUUUUCAAUUGAAUUUAAAUAGUAAAUUUUACGAUAUAUAUAAUUUUUAAGUUUUCUUAAAAAUGUAAUAGAUUUAGUGAUUGAAAGACUAUGUCUUUUAUAUUUUAAAUACAAAAAUUCAUUUUAGAUCAUUUAACAAUAAAAUGAAAUAGUAUUUAAUAUUUGUUUUGAUUUUGUUUAAAUAUUAUUUUACUUUAUCAGGACUGCGUGUAUUAUCUUAACUAUCAAAUUAAAUUAUUUUAGACUACUUUAUGUCUUUACGCACAUAAAAUUUCGAUCAUUAAAUCUAGUAUCAUACAAAUUUAGAAUUCUACUAAGGUUAAUUCUAGAUCAUGUUUACCGAACUCGAUAUAAUAUGAAGAACAACAAGUAUAGCAUAAAAAAAGAAAAAAAAAUACCUUUAAUAAUGCCUUAUAUCUAUCUAUUAAUACCUUCACUCAUGAAAAUGGCAAAAAUACAUAUGUACUCCAGUUUAGUCAUAGAUUUCUUCAAUUCUUGUUUUAAUUAUUUUGUCAUUAUCCCUGAUAGUUUCAAUGAUAUUUCAGUGGAUCAUCUUAAAUGUGACUCUACGUAUAUUAUUAUAAUGAACAUGUUUUACCAAUAAUUAACUAUUUUUAAUAUUUUAUGUAAAUACCUCGUUUUUACGUGUUUAAUGUUUAUAUAAUCCUUUCGUUUUUCGUUGCCUUGUAUUUAUUAAAAAAGUGAAAUUGUGUAUAUUUCUGAAAUAGUACUAAAAAGUAAAAUUAUGUAAAAUGCUCUAUGUAGAUAUAAUUACGAUAUAAUUCCGAUUAAAGAAUUUUUCCAAAGUGAUUAUUGAUAUUUUUUGAAGAUAUAAAUUAGAAAAUAAAGUACUUAUUUUUAGAAUAAGGUUGUAUAUUUACAUUUACAUUUCAUGCUUUUUAAAUAUUUAUAUCGAUUUAUGUAGACGUAAUUUAAAUUAAAGUGAUGUGUGUUGGUCAUUUUAAGUUGUGUCAAUGUAGAUUAUAAAAAAAAAAAAAAAUACUUUUUUUUUCCAAAAUAAAUUGUAUCUUUCUAAUAUGUGUUUUAAAGUAAAGUACAAGCUGGUUUAAUAAUUAUUAUUGCUUUAAAUAUUCCUAAAUCAAUGAAAGUUAGAGAAAACAUUUUUUAACAAAACUUGAACUAUACAAAAGGGACCAUGAUACGAUGACAAUGAUUUUUUGUCAAGUUCAAAUUUCGUUAAUGAAUUUUUCUCUAAUUCUCGUAUUUCGAGAUAUUUAUGAUAGUAGUAGUUAUUAAACUAUCUUGUAUAACUAUCUAAAAUUAUGUAAAUAAAUUAAUAUGUAUAUAAGCCAUAUUCAUGUAAUUCUACGUAAUCAAAUCAUACAACUUUCGUAAAAUAUACUUCUGUACUUUUAAACAGAUUUAUUAUAAAGAAAGUUUAUAUAUAAAAAAAGAAAAAAGAAAAAGAAAGAAACAUUUAUGAAAUAAAAUACAAAGGUAUAAUAAUACAAAAAAUACACUAUUAAAGAGAUAUGUGUACAUGUAUAUGUACAUAUAAAUCUUAUUGACUUAAUUAUUAGACAAUUUAGUAAACUAUUUUGUAGAUUUCUUCUAAUAUUAUGUUUUAACUGUUAAGAAACCUACUAUAAUUUUGUAGCUAUAACAUAUUUGUAUACUGGAAAGAAUGAAGAGAUUAACGAUUGAGUGCUCGUAAAAUUUAUAAUCUUGUACAACUUUUAACAAAUGAGAAAGUUUAAAGAUUUUUCAAUUUUUAUGGUUGAUAUCUUUUCCACUGUAGCAUGAUAUGAUCUCUAUACAUAAACCUAUACAAAGAACCUGAUAGACUUAUUAAGACUUAGUGUAUAUUAGCAUAGAAAACCUGAUGUAUAUUAUAUAAUAUGACACAUUAGUAAUUAUUGUAGCUUUUAUGAUCAUACUUUAUACAUAAGCUGUUGUUGAAUUAUUAAGGUUCAAAUUUAGCAUGAACUGCGAUUAGCAUUAUCCUAUAUACACCAUGAGGAGAUAACUCAAGUGGACUUUGUGUGCUUCUAAAUAUAAAAUAAUUGAAUUAAGUUACACCGCUGCAAAAUGUAUAAAUGUAUUUUUAAUAAUGAAGAACAUGUAGAAAGACUCAACUAUUUCAUGAAUAGAGCCUCUAGUCAAUAGUUGCUUGUAGCCAUACAUAGCAUUACAUCAGUAAUUAUGACAAUGGACUAAGUCAUAUAUUUUUCGUAUUAAAAUAUUUAGAUUUUUGCAUUUGUGUGUAAUAAAAAAUAUUUUUCCAUUAUGUAACAAAAUAUUUUUCAAAAUACUUACUGUUAUAAUGUAAAUUUUUUAUGUAAUUAUGAAGUUUUAUGAUUAUUAUAUAAAAAUAUGAGUUUUUUGAUAUUUCAUAUGACAGAUUACAUUCAAAAUUAUUUGAACAAAUUAAAAAUGACAUAACAAGAAAUAUUCCAGUUUUAUUCAAAAAAAGAUGUCAUAAAGGAAUAUUCACUAUUAUUAUAAUUAUAAUCAUAUUAACUUGAUUUAGAAUACUGGAAAUUUUUUCUUUUCCAAUAACAAUACUUUAUGUUUGUUUUUCAUAGUAUAAUUAUUUGUUUAAAAGUUUUAAGCGAAGAAGUUGAUUUAACUUGAGCAUCAACUUGAAAAUAAAUGUAACUUUAUACAAAUAUCAGAUAAUAUUCCCAGGCAGAAAAAUUAGGUAUAUUUUUCAAAAAAGAAGAAAAAACAGUGUACAGAAAAAUAAGUCCACUAUCAAAAUAAAUAAAAACAGAAUUGUUUACCAAUUUGGCAGGCAUUGAACGGUAUAUUUAAGAACUUUUUUUUUUAUAUUUCGACAUUUCUUAAAUAUAAAUAAUUGUAUUAUAAAUCAAAAUCAAUUUUUUCAAUUUCUUGAUUUAGCUCAUUGUCAUAAUUACGAGCACAUAUUUAAUAAAACUAUUUGCCAGUUCCCAUAAGAAGUUUCUUUUUCUUAAAUAUAAAACUAAAUUAUACAACUAUUCUAGACACGCAUAAGAAUAGAAUAUAACAUAUGAAUAAAAGUACAGUAAAAUUAUAAUAUAUUUCAAUAAUAGAAUAGAAAAAUUAUUUUAAAUUUCGAAAAAUAUAAAAUUAAUAAAAUUUUGACUGCUUUAACCUCCUAAAUAGUAUGUUUUAGUAAGUGUAUUAGCAUUUCUUUUUUUAUCGAAAAAGUUGUAACGCAUGCGAAUAAUAAGGUCCUCUGUCAGACAGAAUGAUAUCCAUACCGUUCUUGACCUUUUUACCGAUUUAACUGACAAUAUACAUAGUCUGAUUACAUAUGUAUAUGCUUGCAGCCAUUCACUGCCGCAACAAAUUGUUGAGACUUGAUAAACUCCACGUGUGGCAUUACAUUAUUUUCAAUUGUGCCAUUCGUACUAAUUAUCAAACGGUGUAACUAUCAACUUUCUGAGGUGUUCAAAAAUGAAGUCUAUUGAAAUGAUAAACAUUGAAGACCUUGUCUGUGCAAUAAUAAAGUAUCACGCUAUAUGGGACAAUAAUGCUGAUGAUUAUAGUACAAAAUAAAGAGGUAAAAAGCAUGACAAAACGUAAUUGUUAAGUUUAUGUCUGAUUUCAAAAAAAGAUCCACAGAAAAGAAAAAGCGAAAUAGAUAAGUUUGUUAUUAGAAUAAUUGUUAUUUUUACUGCAAAAAAACAAUUGCAUAAUAAAAAUAAUUAAAUUAACAUAA